rnacentral:sRNA from 1 species
CUUCUUUCGGUAGAACACCUGAAGAAGCAUCACUACAGAGUUUACAAAUCCCAAACCCAAUGUGAACGUUACCAAACUGUCACCUUGGCGGGGUCACGCCCCGGGUGCGUCGCAGCCCCGGAACCAGGCGCCCGCCGGAGGAACCAACCAAACUCUUUCUGUAGUCCCCUCGCGGACGUAUUUCUUACAGCUCUGAGCAAAAAUUCAAAAUGAAUCAAAACUUUCAAGAACGGAUCUCUUGGUUCUGGCAUCGAUGAAGAACGCAGCGAAAUGCGAUAAGUAAUGUGAAUUGCAGAAUUCAGUGAAUCAUCGAAUCUUUGAACGCAGAUUGCGCCCACGAGUAUUCUGGCGGGCAUGCCUGUCCGAGCGUCAUUUCAACCCUCGAACCCCUCCGGGGGAUCGGCGUUGGGGAUCGGGACGCCUCACACGGGUGCCGGCCCCUAAAUACGGUGGCGGUCUCGCCGCAGCCUCUCCUGCGCAGUAGUUUGCACAACUCGCACCGGGAGCGCGGCGCGUCCACGUCCGUAAAACACCCAACUUUCUGAAAUGUUGACCUCGGAUCAGGUAGGAAUACCCGCUGAACUUAAGCAUAUCAUAAGCCGGAGGAAAGAGGAAGUAUCCUUA